rnacentral:tRNA from 1 species
GCGCCGGUAUUGUAAUGGCGUAGAGCAUUCCCGCCCGGUUAGAGGGAGGUGCGGGUUCGAGUCCCGCCCGGCGCU